rnacentral:lncRNA from 1 species
AUGGGUCAUUGGACCCAAUGAAGAAGAAGGUUGAACCUGGGAUUUUGGCCGGGAAACUUCCCAAUCUCCGUUGGAGCUCGAUUCUUAACUAUUUUUCAGGAAAUAAAAGUCAAAUUGAAGCUUAGGAGAUCAGGAACAUGGCCAUACCAAAAUAAGGUUGAGCUGAGGUCGGGAUUGGCAGGAAAAUGCCUGCAAAAGUCAGGUUUUUCGUCAAAAAUCUGGGGGAACUUUCCUCUAGCUGUUUUUGUGCAAUACCGUCGUUCAAAACACCCAAACACGAUACAAAAUGAAUAAUGAGAAUAAGAGGAUAAGGUUUAGAAUGUUUUCGAAGCUUACCUAUGUUGACAACGGCGAGAGGUCGCCGGAGAUGAUGAAUAGUGACUCAACGUGUAGGGGAAAAAGACCAGCGAGCUUAGGGCUUGUCCCAUCGUCUUAGGUCGCAUGAAUGGCUAGUGAUGAUGGGGUUAGAGUAUCACAGUCUCGCUGGUGUAGGGUGACUCGAGGUGGAGAAAGUUUAAAGAUGAGAGGAGGGAGACAAGGAGGGAGAGAGUUCGAGAGUGUUCACUUGGGGAGGAAAGAAGAGAAAGAGAGGGAAAGAGAGAGAGAGUUCCAGAGAUUGGGGGGAUGACAUAGGGAAGAAUGGGAAUUGAGGUGUAGGCCCCACGGCUCACAAAACAACACACACAAAAUAUCUUUCUACGUAAAAUUACCAAAUUGCCCAUCACAUUCUUGAUUCUGUAAAACGUUCAUCAUAACUCCAAAUUCGAUUCCGCUUGCGCCCACACGUUAGUAGCGAAUACGCCAAGGAAACAGAUCUUACAUGACAAAUAAUGCAGUCAACAAAAGUCAACGUUUUUGCCUCGAAGGGCAUUUUUUGUAUUUUCACGUUCUAAAAUUAUAAAAUACUGUAAUAUUUAGGGACAGGGCCCCAGUUUCAUUGCAUUAUGUGCCCUAAAUCCUAAGGUAAGUAUAGCCAUGGUCCCUAGCUGUUAAGUUUUCUACUUCAAGACAUAAUUAAAGAAAUUUUUUGAAAUGUAAUGUGAACUAAUAUAUUAAGGGAUGUGCUAUUCACACACUUAUUUUUUUUUAACUUCUAACACAUUUUUGUUAAUUUCUAUCAUUUGAUCUUCUUCAUUUCACUUGAUCCGAUGAUCGAACAUUAGAAGAGUGUGUGAGAAGUAAAAAAGGGUGUGUAAAUAGCACACUUCUAUAUUAAGCGAUUUGUCAUAUUAAUUUUUUGAAACUAUCAUCCUAACUUUGUAAAAUUUUCCAUUCAAAAUGUUUGUGUUCAUAAUUAUUUCAGACUUGAGAUCUCCUUUUUACAAAUUAUUUUAUUUAUUUUCAUACGAAUAUAUAUAUAUAUAUAUGUGUGUGUGUGUGUGUGUGUGAGAAAUAAAUUGGUUUGAACUUUUGACCAUCUUUUCACAAGUUCUCUACUUCUUUUUGGUAUGAACCUAAAAACUAUGGCUAGUAAAAAAAAUGUCACGUUCAUUUCAAAAACUUAUGAUGACCUAUUAAAAAAGUACAUUAGGCUCAUUAACAUGGGAGUUUAUGUCACAGUCUGUCCCGAAAUAAAUUAUCGAUGAAGUGAGUUGACUAUUUUACCCUUGGACGUGAGUGUUGUGGUGUGUAUUAUGCAUGUUAGUGGUGGUCCAAACUUAUAUUUUUCCUUAAUUUUUGGACCAAAUUAGAACUUAGUUUUUGUGGUUUUGGUUGGUGACCCACGUGGACCACUCACACACAAACUCUUCCUCUCUCUUUCUCUCUCUCUCCCGUGCAUUCUCUCUUUCCUUCCUCUCGGAUUUUUCAGAAAAUCCGUACAAAACAUAUGGACGAACUCCAAAACCAACCUUUCACACGCAGAUCGAGGGUUCAGAGGACACCAUUGUGUUCCUGAGGUUCAUACGAGUUGAAUGGUACCAUUUUUAGGUAAGAACUUCUUCGAAAACUCGUGAAAACCCUAACCCGAUUUAUGUCACUAUUCAUACAAUCGUAAAAUGAUGUGUUUUUUUGGGAUUUCAAGCUUAUAGGUAGCUUAAAGAGGUCCUUACAAGGCCAGGAGUGGUUCGUUGGAAGAUUUUGGACGUCGGACUAUUGAGAACGACGAGUUUUAAGAAUUGCAGGAAUAUCGAGGCUUUUUCCGGCGGGUUUCUGGUGGUUUGAAGGCUCAACUCAGUUAUGGUUUUGUUCGUCUUGGUGAGAUCUUCAAAAUGGUCUAAGUUUCAUGAAGUUUGGUGUUAAAUCAAGAGAGAUAUAAGGUUUUAAAAU